rnacentral:lncRNA from 1 species
AAACAGAGAGAGGCCACGUGAGUCAUGAACCGCAAAUGACUGAUGUGGAUAAUCAUUGAUGACUUUGAAGAUUGCUAUUUAGGCUGGAGUGCAGUGGAGUGAUCUCAGCUCACUGCAACCUCCGCCUCCCGGGUUCAAGCUGUUCUCGUGCCUCAGCCUCCCAAGUAGCUGGAAUUACAGGCCAACAAAAUGGAAAUGAAAGAAACUGCUAAACAGGAUACACUGUGGCAAAUGAGCUCAACUAGCAAACCCGUGUUGAAUACUCGUGAAGUCAAUCCUUUGAAGAAAUUCACCAUUCCUAAGAUCAGGAGGACAGCUGAGAAAGAAUAGAUGCACGUUCUGCAUCCUUCCCACUAAGUACACCUAAAAACCCUGGACAUUUUUAUGAAACAAAUAUGAAAAGACUUUCGAAACUGGAGAGAAGACCAACCAACUAGGGAAUGUGAGACUCAGGGAAUGGCAUAGCAUUUACUUGUCACCUUGUUACACCAAUAGUAGAGAGUAUAGUUUUAUACAUGAUACUCUUAACCAGUGCAGGCUUGAUGUAAACUGUGAUCUGCAGUCGUUAUGGCAGUUU